UUAUUGAGAUAUGUAUUUCUGCAGGUUAGGCUGAAGCCUCUGCAUGUCCCGAUGCCUGAUGGAGAUGGAGGAAUCCUUUCUACCCAGACAGAAGUCACACUAUGUAGCCUGUCCUCUUUAGAACUGAAUCCGAUUGGGAUUUCUUCAUGGUCUCCACCCUGGAAAACCAGCUUGAAUUCUUGUAUGCGGGCCAGAUUCCAAGAGACAUCAUAAUUAGAUCCCAGAAGACUACAUGGCAGCUGAAGAGGAUGUCCCCUGUGGAAUAUAUGGAGGAAAGGCUGGCCAAAGCAAUGUUCACAUUCAUGCAAUUAUCCAGUUAAUUGCACAAGUCAAACCAAGACUUGUUCUAAAGCCACAAUAACAACGAAAUUGAUGCUUUCAUCUCCCAGAAAUAUGGCUGUGCUGUGAUCCAUGAAUUUUAAAUUAGAAGUAAAUCUAGGACUGAACUACUAAUUUUCCCCAUCAGCUGAAGAGUUUUGGCAAUGAACAGCUUGCAGCUGAAUCCCCUUCUGGAAAU
ensembl:lncRNA LINC02160 long intergenic non-protein coding RNA 2160